rnacentral:tRNA from 1 species
GCGGGCGUAGUUCAGUGGCAGAACACAAGCCUUCCAAGCUUGAUACGUGAGUUCGAUUCUCAUCGCCCGCU